CCUACGGGUGGCUGCAGUGGGGAAUAUUGGACAAUGGGGGGAACCCUGAUCUAGCCAUGCCGCGUGUGUGAAGAAGGCCCCCGGGUUGUAAAGCACUUUCAGUGAGGAAGAACGCCUGGUGGUUAAUACCCAUCAGGAAAGACAUCACUCACAGAAGAAGCACCGGCUAACUCCGUGCCAGCAGCCGCGGUAAUACGGAGGGUGCGAGCGUUAAUCGGAAUUACUGGGCGUAAAGCGCGCGUAGGUGGCUUGAUAAGCCGGUUGUGAAAGCCCCGGGCUCAACCUGGGAACGGCAUCCGGAACUGUCAAGCUAGAGUGCAGGAGAGGAAGGUAGAAUUCCCGGUGUAGCGGUGAAAUGCGUAGAGAUCGGGAGGAAUACCAGUGGCGAAGGCGGCCUUCUGGACUGACACUGACACUGAGGUGCGAAAGCGUGGGUAGCAAACAGGAUUAGAUACCCCAGUAGUC
rnacentral:rRNA from 1 species